GGCUAACUACGUGCCAGCAGCCGCGGUAAUACGUAGGUGGCAAGCGUUAUCCGGAUUUAUUGGGCGUAAAGCGAGCGCAGGCGGUUUUUUAAGUCUGAUGUGAAAGCCCUCGGCUUAACCGAGGAAGCGCAUCGGAAACUGGGAAACUUGAGUGCAGAAGAGGACAGUGGAACUCCAUGUGUAGCGGUGAAAUGCGUAGAUAUAUGGAAGAACACCAGUGGCGAAGGCGGCUGUCUGGUCUGUAACUGACGCUGAGGCUCGAAAGCAUGGGUAGCGAACA
rnacentral:rRNA from 1 species